AACUGCGAGUGAAGCGGGAAAAGCUCAAAUUUAAAAUCUAAUGGCCUCUUUGGCCAUUCGAGUUGUAAUUUAAAGAAGUGUCUUCUGCGCCAGACCAUGUACAAGUCUCCUGGAAUGGAGCGUCAUAGAGGGUGAGAAUCCCGUCUUUGACAUGGAUCCUCGGUGCUUCUGUGAUGCGCUCUCAAAGAGUCGAGUUGUUUGGGAAUGCAGCUCAAAAUGGGUGGUGAACUCCAUCUAAGGCUAAAUAUUGGCGAGAGACCGAUAGCGAACAAGUACCGUGAGGGAAAGAUGAAAAGCACUUUGGAAAGAGAGUGAAACAGUACGUGAAAUUGUUGAAAGGGAAACACUUGAAGUCAGUCGCGUCGAUUAAGACUCAGCCUUGCCUCGGCUUGGUGUACUUCUUGACUUGACGGGCCAGCAUCAAUUUUGUCCCUCGGAUAAUGGCAGGGGAAAGGUGGCACCUUUGCGGGUGUGUUAUAGUCUCUUGUCGCAUACGAGGGGUGGGAUUGAGGAACUCAGCACGUGCCUCACGGUGUCGGGGCUUCUGCCCACGUUUACGUGCUUAGGAUGCCGGCGUAAUGGCUUUAAAUGACCCGUCUUGAAACACGGACCAAGGAGUCUAACAUGCCUGCGAGUGUUCGGGUGGAAAACCCGUGUGCGAAAUGAAAGUAAAAGUUGGGACCUCUGUCGUGGAGGGCACCGACGCCCGGACCAGACCUUCUGUGACGGAUCUGCGGUAGAGCAUGCAUGUUGGGACCCGAAAGAUGGUGAACUAUGCCUGAAUAGGGUGAAGCCAGAGGAAACUCUGGUGGAGGCUCGUAGCGAUUCUGACGUGCAAAUCGAUCGUCAAAUUUGGGUAUAGGGGCGAAAGACUAAUCGA
rnacentral:rRNA from 2 species